rnacentral:rRNA from 1 species
UACAGAGGGUGCGAGCGUUGUUCGGAAUCAUUGGGCGUAAAGCGCUUGUAGGCGGCCUGCCAAGUCGCGUGUGAAAUCCCCUGGCUCAACCAGGGAAGUGCGCGCGAAACUGGCGGGCUUGGAGUGCCGGAGAGGGUCGCGGAAUUCCCGGUGUAGAGGUGAAAUUCGUAGAUAUCGGGAGGAACACCAGUGGCGAAGGCGGCGACCUGGACGGACACUGACGCUGAGACGCGAAAGCGUGGGGAGCAAACAGG